rnacentral:rRNA from 1 species
AUACGAAGGGUGCAAGCGUUACUCGGAAUUACUGGGCGUAAAGCGUGCGUAGGUGGUUGUUUAAGUCUGUCGUGAAAGCCCUGGGCUCAACCUGGGAAUGGCGAUGGAAACUGGGCGACUAGAGUGUGGCAGAGGGUAGUGGAAUUCCUGGUGUAGCAGUGAAAUGCGUAGAGAUCAGGAGGAACAUCCGUGGCGAAGGCGACUGCCUGGGCCAACACUGACACUGAGGCACGAAAGCGUGGGGAGUAAACAGGAUUAGAUACCCUGGUAGUCCACGCCCUAAACGAUGCGAACUGGAUGUUGGGUGCAAUUUGGCACGCAGUAUCGAAGCUAACGCGUUAAGUUCGCCGCCUGGGGAGUACGGUCGCAAGACUGAAACUCAAAUGAAUUGACGGGG